rnacentral:rRNA from 1 species
CCUACGGGAGGCUGCAGUGAGGAAUAUUGGUCAAUGGACGAGAGUCUGAACCAGCCAAGUAGCGUGAAGGAUGACUGCCCUAUGGGUUGUAAACUUCUUUUAUAUGGGAAUAAAACGUUCCACGUGUGGGAUUUUGUAUGUACCAUAUGAAUAAGGAUCGGCAAACUCCGUGCCAGCAGCCGCGGUAAUACGGAGGAUCCGAGCGUUAUCCGGAUUUAUUGGGUUUAAAGGGAGCGUAGGUGGAUUGUUAAGUCAGUUGUGAAAGUUUGCGGCUCAACCGUAAAAUUGCAGUUGAAACUGGCAGUCUUGAGUACAGUAGAGGUGGGCGGAAUUCGUGGUGUAGCGGUGAAAUGCUUAGAUAUCACGAAGAACUCCGAUUGCGAAGGCAGUUCACUGGACUGCAACUGACACUGAGGCUCGAAAGUGUGGGUAUCAAACAGGAUUAGAUACCCCAGUAGUC